AUGGCAAUGGAGAAGACGACGGCAGGGGGCCCUGGCGACGGGGUCGGCGGGAACCGGGCGGAACGGGCGGAUCGAGUCGUCCGGCCUCGGUUCCGGGCAACGCCGGCGGCCAACGGAGCUCGGGCGCGGGGCACAGCCAUCCAUGGCGGCGGCGGCGGUCCUGCUCGAACAGAGAGACACAAGCGACAGAGAGGUGAGAGAAGGAGAAAGAGCGCGACGCAAAGGGAGAGGGAAGCGGCGGUAGGGCUCACCGGAGCGCGUGGGGCGGCGAGGGGUAGCUGCUUGCUCCGGCGGCUUCCAUGGCGCAAGGAACACCUGUUGCAGGAGAGAACAAGGGAGUUGAGAAGAGGAGACGAAGGAAGGAAGGAGAAGGGCGGAGGCGAGGGGCACGGCCUGCUGGUGAUGCUCGACGGCGAUGAGGUUCGGGACGGGGAUGCCGGCGUGGAGAGGAGCGCUCGGGCAGAGGAGGAGCGGUGCCGGGGCUUGCGAACUGCUGCUGUUGCCGCGGCGACGAGGCAGUGA
rnacentral:rRNA from 1 species